GUGCUUGUUCCGAUACACAUACACUAAAAUUGGGAGAUACAGAGAUUACUAUAGCCCUUGUGCAAGAACGACAUGCAAAUUUGGGAAGCAUUACAUAUUUUU